UCUCGGAUCUCUCUUGCUGAUCGCUGCCAAGAAGAUUCCACGGCUCGGUGCCGUAGAUGUUGGCGACGGCGAAAGCGCGGCCAGGGCAGGAGGGAUACUUCUUUGCGGACGGCUCGCGCGUGGAUCGAAAGGCCGGCACCGGUUCUUAGACUCUGGACAAAAAGCAAGAACUAGUCAACAAAACCGUCGCCGGGCGGGAGAUGGUGGUGAGGUGAAAGAGCAGCCUUUCCUUCAACGACUACCAGCCGAAGAACUCCGGGUGGACGAUGUACGAAUACGAGAUGUGUUAUUCCGGCUUAUUUGACAUUUGUUUUGACGGUGGUCUAUAAGGUGGACUCAACUGUUUUGAUGGUGGUGCCGUCGGAGAUAGCCUGAUGCAAGAUCUUCAGAGAACUCAUCUCUCGAAGCCGGAAGAACACAUCUCGUCUCGUCCAUCGUCCACCCUCUUUCGUCGGUCGGCCGUCGGUAAAGGAAAGUAAGUCAGCUCUUUCGCCCCCACCCACGAUCUCGCGGCAGCUGAUGGUUUUCUCGCCGACUUCUUGAGUGGAAUAACCCAUUCGUAACUCAACAAUUUUGAAAGAAUCGGUGCCGGCCUUUCGAUCCAUGCGCGAGCCAGUCACUGUUCUCGAGCUUGCGCUCCGUAAAGAAUCCCUCCGAUCGCUGCCGAGAAGAUUCCACGCGACCACGAAGGGAGGGGUGUGUCGGCUCCACGCGACCACGAAGGGAGGGGUGUGUCGGCGACCCAGUUACCGAGGUAGUCGACCACGAGUUCCUCCGCCGUGGGUAGGAACCUGUAGCCUCUUGUCGAUGGGCUACAUCGAUGGUUGUUUCUCGAAGAGGAACUCCAAGUAAUUUGCAACUCCAAGGAACUUUAUCAAUGAGACAUGCUGACUAUGACUUGCCAUUUUGCUCACCAGGUUCCUUUGACUAUCCUUACUGUUCCAUCGACUACCCUUACUGCUCCAUUGACUACUAAGCUGCAUAAGUCUGUUAGCAAUACUAACUCUGCUUAUUUAGAUCGUGUUACUGAAAAGAAGCUCUUGGGGAAGUACUAAAUGGUGAUCGGGUCGAUGCUCCAUAUGAGUUCAAUUUUCUGGAGGAAAAGCAGUUAAAGUCUCUUUGUGAGAAAAACUUAUCAAAGGAAGAUGUUGCAAAGUUCAGACAUGCUGUAUCAAGGGACUACUACUUUGAAAUGUAUUAUGAUGAUAUGCCUCUAUGGUGAUUCUUGGGCAAGACUUAGAGGGACAAUACUGAUUCGGGCAAAGACAAUCACUUGUUCUUUAAACACAUCCACUUGAAUAUUCUUUACAAUGAUGAUAGGGUUAUAUAGAUCAAUGUCCAACAUUAUUGUGGAUAUCUUGGAGGAUAAGGAAUUGGAUGUAGAGUUUUUAUAUUCUGUUACAUGGAAAAAGAUUGACAUAUCUUUUGAAGAAAGGAUAUUGACCAUCUGCUUUCUGCUUGAUUGCCUGAUAGCGUAUUGGACGAUUACGAAGAUGGUGAUAUCUGCAUUGCAUUUGGCGAAGUGCUUCGCAGUGCCAUAUCUUCAGGACUUCGUGUGGUUUGCCAUGUCAGUUUCUCGUUCUGCUUCCACAUUUAUGAAGUCCGCCUCUUGCUUUGACUACAAUCUUUUUACUCAUCUUCUUGGAUUUGUUAGAAAUUUUAGCUACAUUAGUCUAUCUUUGAAGCAGAUCAUUCAUAAAAUUUAAAAGGUCAAGUGCCCAGUUUUUGUAAUUCAUGUAAGUGCUUUGUUUUAAAUAUAUGCGUUUUGUCCUGCAAACAA